rnacentral:rRNA from 1 species
UUGAACGCUGGCGGCAUGCUUUACACAUGCAAGUCGAACGGUAACAGGUUAAGCUGACGAGUGGCGAACGGGUGAGUAAUGCAUCGGAACGUGCCCGAUCGUGGGGGAUAACGCAGCGAAAGCUGCGCUAAUACCGCAUACGAUCUGAGGAUGAAAGCGGGGGACAGUAAGGCCUCGCGCGAUCGGAGCGGCCGAUGUCAGAUUAGGUAGUUGGUGGGGUAAAGGCUCACCAAGCCGACGAUCUGUAGCUGGUCUGAGAGGACGACCAGCCACACUGGGACUGAGACACGGCCCAGACUCCUACGGGAGGCAGCAGUGGGGAAUUUUGGACAAUGGGCGAAAGCCUGAUCCAGCAAUGCCGCGUGCAGGAAGAAGGCCUUCGGGUUGUAAACCGCUUUCAGCCGGAAAGAAAUCGCUGUUUUUAAUACGGACAGUGGAUGACGGUACCGGAAGAAGAAGCACCGGCUAACUACGU